UACGAAGGUGGCAAGCGUUGUUCGGAUUUACUGGGCGUACAGGGAGCGUAGGCGGUUCGGUAAGCCCUCUGUGAAAUCUCCAGGCUUAACCUGGAACAGUCGGAGGGGACUGCUGGGCUAGAGGACGGGAGAGGAGCGCGGAAUUCCCGGUGUAGCGGUGAAAUGCGUAGAGAUCGGGAGGAAGGCCGGUGGCGAAGGCGGCGCUCUGGAACGUUUCUGACGCUGAGGCUCGAAAGCUAGGGGAGCAAACGGG
rnacentral:rRNA from 1 species